rnacentral:lncRNA from 1 species
AAAAAUAAUGGGUGUUAUGGGGUAAAAUAUUUUACAUUGUAUUGUAUGGAAAAGCACCAAGGAGUCUGAACAUUUGACACAGAUUCCAAAACCUCACCUUAGUACAUUCUUAAGGUUUCUUUUCUUAUUUCAUCUUUCAAAUUGUAUCUUUAAACAUCAACCUGUUUAUGAUUAACAAGGCCGAUGUAUUUUCUGUUUUACUUUACAAUGACUAUACCUUUUGGCAUGGUUACAACAAAAUCUGUCCGUUCCUUAAUUAUAUUUUCCAAAUCACAUCUUAAAGAAUCACUCUAUAAAUAAUUAGUCCUAAAGAAAGAGAAUAGAUAUGUUAUUCAAAGACAGAAAAUGAUUUGAAAAAAUAUAACCAUUUUCAAAUCACAUGGCAUAUUUGUCCAAAAUCCAAAGAUUAACAGAGAAGACCUGCCAGUGAUUAAUAUAACUUGAAAAUUCCUAUUAAUUUAGAUAUACAUAAUGUAUAUUUAGUGCAUUCUUAGCUUGUAAAUUAUUGCUCAUCAAUGAUGUCUCCAAAAAUUAUGAAAUCCUUGAUACCGUUUUAAUUCUGUAUUUGAUUUAUACAAAAUAAAAGCUAAAAUUUAAUUUUACCCUCUACUGGUAUUCUGUGUCUAAAAGUUAGAAAUAUAAUUUAAGGUUGUGUCCCUUUGAAAAAGUUUCCAAGGAAGUACUGCAAUAGUUAAUUGAAGGGAGUUUUUGAAUAUUUGUUAUGUUUUCUCUAUUAUGGUGAAUAUAAUUCACAUAUUUUUUGUUUGGCUGUGUCUUAUUUAUAUACCCUCAGUGUUUUUUUAUUUACGUCUUGCAUGUUGAAAUUGCCCAGAAAAUAUGUUCAGAUUUUGGUCCAAGACCCCUUCUUUAAAAAACAAUAUACAAUUAUGGCCCGUUGAAAAGGUGAAUAUCCAAAAUUGUCAACACAAGAAGAUUAUUUUAUUGAGGGUGCAACGCUGGUGUAAAUUUUUAGGGUUAUUCGUUCUUCCUUGCAAUCGAAGGAAAAUUAACUGAAUUAUUCCAUGUCACAUGAUAACGUUUUACCCAAUAGAAUUGUUUGAAAUAUAUGUAAGGUAUAAUAAUAAUAGAUAUUUUUUACCAUAACAUUAAGUUGACCAGAAGAGAUUAUUUUAUGAGAUGAAAAUCAUGUUUUACAAUGUUAUUUUAACCAUUAAGAAGUUGUACUAUUAUUUGUUACUUCAUCUGUAAAUAAUAAAAUGUGUUGUCUGUAUUUUAUAUAAA